CCGGAAGGUGCAGCACAGCUGUGGCGGCGGGUACUGCGUUAGUGAUUAGGGUUUCUUCCCUGCCGGAGGUGGGAUACACGGUAGCAUCAUGGUCGAGGAGGUACAGAAACAUUCUGUACACACCCUUGUGUUCAGGUCAUUGAAGAGGACCCAUGACAUGUUUGUAGCUGAUAAUGGAAAACCUGUGCCUUUAGAUGAAGAGAGUCACAAACGAAAAAUGGCAAUCAAGCUUCGUAAUGAGUAUGGUCCUGUGUUGCAUAUGCCUACUUCAAAAGAAAAUCUUAAAGAGAAGGGUCCUCAGAAUGCAUCGGAUUCAUAUGUUCAUAAACAGUACCCUGCCAGUCAAGGUGAGUAUGGUAUUAUCAGAAAUGUCAGACUUAUAUGUGAAUUUUAAAAACAGAAAAAUAAAAUGUGUUAUUUUUGCCCCUCCUGGCAGGACUUAUUGUGGUCGUACAGUAUUUAAUGGCCGUACCAGUAUUAUAAUGGAAGUUUUGAUCCUCAUGGGAAUACUGUUGAUGACUUUUUUCUUAUAGGAAAUAAAAAUGGUAGUAUAAUGAUGGCAGAGAUUCUUAGAAU
rnacentral:sRNA from 1 species